CAAAGAUGUCCAAAUUUGGCAGGAUGAAAGCAGGGAAGCUGCAUCCACAUUAUUUCCAUCUAUGAGUUCCCUGUUGAAAAGGAAGAAAGAUCAUGGUCGAGCUGAGGCACUACUCAUUGCUGCUUACGGCAAAGGCAUGAAGAUCAGCACCAAUUCAUCAUCCAUCUCAGAAGAAUUGAUGUCUUAAAACAGGCAAAUUGGCCACAACCCACUCCUUUCUUUUGUCACAUCCUUCAGUUGUUGCUUCUUUUCUUCUCUGCAAAUGCUACAAAAUGAAGAGCAACAUGAAUAGCGACAAAAAGUAGUUGAUGGUUUGGUAUUGUAUAAUUCUCACAUUAGACUAACUGCGUUAGAUAUUUCACUAGUUUUAGUUUUUAGCUUUUUAUCUUUUUUGCCAUUGUCAUUUUUUUUCUUCUUUUUGGGAUUGCUUCAUGGAGAUUAGCUGACUGAUAGUAUUAUUGAUACUUCUUGUGGGAUUUAAACUUCCCAAUUGUGAUCCUUCUUUGUAACCUAGUAUGUGUAAUUGUUAGAUGAAUAUCUAAAUUCUGAUGGAAAUUUGAGGUUCUCUUGGAAACA